rnacentral:rRNA from 1 species
GUGUCAGCAGCCGCGGUAAGACGAGGGAUCCUAGCGUUGCUCGGAAUCAUUGGGCGUAAAGCGGGUGUAGGUGGCUUGGUAAGUCAGGUGUGAAAGCCCAGGGCUCAACCCUGGAAGUGCAUUUGAAACUGCUAAGCUUGAGUGCUAGAGAGGUUAUUAGAAUACCUGGUGUAGUGGUGAAAUACGUAGAUAUCAGGUGGAACACCGGAGGCGAAGGCGGAUAACUGGCUAGACACUGACACUGAGACCCGAAAGUGUGGGGAUCAAACAGGAUUAGAUACCCUGGUAGUCCACACCGUAAACGAUGGAUACUUGCCGUUGGAGGUAUUGACCCCUUCAGUGGCGAAGCUAACGCGUUAAGUAUCCCGCCUGGGGAGUACGGUCGCAAGAUUAAA